rnacentral:rRNA from 1 species
UACGUAGGGGGCAAGCGUUGUCCAGAUUUAUUGGGCGUAAAGAGCGUGUAGGCGGUUAUACAGGUCCGCUGUGAAAACUGGAGGCUUAACCUCCAGACGUCGGUGGAAACCGUAUGACUAGAGUCCGGAAGAGGAGAGUGGAAUUCCUGGUGUAGCGGUGAAAUGCGCAGAUAUCAGGAAGAACACCCGUGGCGAAGGCGGCUCUCUGGGACGGUACUGACGCUGAGACGCGAAAGCGUGGGGAGCGAACAGG